rnacentral:rRNA from 1 species
UACGUAGGGGGCAAGCGUUGUCCGGAUUUAUUGGGCGUAAAGAGCGUGUAGGCGGCUAGGUAGGUCCGUUGUGAAAACUCGAGGCUCAACCUCGAGACGUCGAUGGAAACCAUCUAGCUAGAGUCCGGAAGAGGCGAGUGGAAUUCCUGGUGUAGCGGUGAAAUGCGCAGAUAUCAGGAGGAACACCAAUGGCGAAGGCAGCUCGCUGGGACGUGACUGACGCUGAGACGCGAAAGCGUGGGGAGCAAACAGG